AUGAGCUGGCCAGAAACCAGGCCUGUCCUGACCGUGGCACGCUCUCAGAGCCUCUGAUGUCACUGAUUCCAGUCUUGGGCCCAGCACCAGCACUGAGUCUGUGGAAAAGAUCUAAGAGCAUACUCAGGUACUAACUCUGAGUUGGUUCACUCAAUGAAAUUUCAGUUUAGGCUCAUUUUCAGUGAGCUUAGAUUCUGCUCUGGGUUGGAUGGAUUUCUGGUGUGUUUAAAUUGUUGUCUGGCUGUGCAGCAAUUCAUGCAGAUUCGAGAUCAGAUUAUGAACGCCUCAGGUUGAAACGCUGAGCUGGCUCCUUCCUCUUGCCCUGGAUGGAGUUCCUCCAUUUGAGCAGUCCUUCCCACUCCCGCCUUUUACCUGGAAAUAAUAUGUGUGGAGUGUGUCAGGCCGGAGGUUCCAACAGUUCUUUCCCAGAUUGUUGUCGCUGCGAUGUUACCAGCUCUGAACCUCCUCACACAUCUUACCUGGAAACCUGCUCACUUGUUGCCUCCAGAAACCCCCAGAACUACUCACCAGCCCCAUGUAAUCUGUCAAAGGAAGGACUUACCCGCUCACCUGCCUGCCCGCUCUUCAAGCGCUUUCUCCGCCACCUGUCUGAUACUCGCCAGCUACCUUCACACUCCCUCUGAGCCUCCCCUCACUUCCAACGCAACCAAGACCUCUGGUUCACUCUCAUUAUUCUCAUCAUCCUCUUGGGUUCCUGUUAAUCUCUUGUCUCCUGUCUAACAGAGCUUCCGUGUACCAGUCUAAAGUGUCUCCGAAUUUCUCCACCAACUGUCUGAACCCAUUAACAAUUCAUUCUUUCACAGUAAACAGUACGAACCUUUCUGCUGUUGUCUGAGUCUGCUCUUUGGGCCCGCUUUUUGCCAUAAUACGACAUUGUCGCU
ensembl:lncRNA